CGCAAGCAGAGGUAGUACCGGGGGUUUAGCGGAGUCGCAAUAUACACACCUGGUCAUUGAUAUAUAUGAGGAAGAGGAGUGGUCCCAGCACCAAUCCUUAUCCCGAGGAUGAUUGGCCUCUUCACUAUAAAGCGCUCAUCCUGCACAUUU